rnacentral:rRNA from 1 species
GACGAACGCUGGCGGCGUGCUUAACACAUGCAAGUCGAACGGAAAGGCCCUGCUUUUGUGGGGUGCUCGAGUGGCGAACGGGUGAGUAACACGUGAGUAACCUGCCCUUGACUUUGGGAUAACUUCAGGAAACUGGGGCUAAUACCGGAUAGGAGCUCCUGCUGCAUGGUGGGGGUUGGAAAGUUUCGGCGGUUGGGGAUGGACUCGCGGCUUAUCAGCUUGUUGGUGGGGUAGUGGCUUACCAAGGCUUUGACGGGUAGCCGGCCUGAGAGGGUGACCGGCCACAUUGGGACUGAGCUACGGCCCAGACUCCUACGGGAGGCAGCAGUGGGGAAUAUUGCACAAUGGGCGGAAGCCUGAUGCAGCCACGCCGCGUGCGGGAUGACGGCCUUCGGGUUGUAAACCGCUUUCGCCUGUGACGAAGCGUGAGUGACGGUAAUGGGUAAAGAAGCACCGGCUAACUCCGUG